UUAUUAAGAGCUCGGAGCACACUUUCUUGCUUUUGCCGGAAGCGUUAUAACUAGAGGUCCAUGAUUGCUUGUACCAGUAUGAUGAGUGGUACCACUUUUAUUGCAUUAAUCUGCACGGCCCACCUCCCAAGUCCUCAUAUUGUCCUUCAAUCAAUCUGCAUACCAUAAGGGCAUUGGAGCAUACCUGAUACGGUCUGAUCCACACCCACCGAACUUGAGGCUAAAC
rnacentral:lncRNA from 1 species